UACGGAGGGUGCAAGCGUUGUUCGGAAUCACUGGGCGUAAAGCGCGUGUAGGCGGUCUCUUAAGUCUGGUGUGAAAGCCCGGGGCUUACCCCCGGAAGGGCACUGGAGACUGGGAGACUCGAGUACCGGAGAGGAAGGUGGAAUUCCUGGUGUAGCGGUGAAAUGCGUAGAUAUCAGGAGGAACACCGGUGGCGAAGGCGACUUCCUGGCCUGUUCUUGACGCUGAGGCGCGAAAGCUAGGGGAGCAAACGGG
rnacentral:rRNA from 1 species